rnacentral:lncRNA from 1 species
AGCUGACUCCUCUCUCUCCCUCUCGGACCCCGGCAGGGCCCAGAGGUGAUUCUGACUGCACGAUGUCCUCCUUCCUGGAGGCGAGCUCUUCGCAGGCGCCACAUCGCGAACAAAAAGAGAAAAGAAAAAAAAAAGAAAAGAAAAAUCAGAAGAAGCCGACAGAGAAGGGGGCGGUAAAGGCGUUGGGGGUCACCUCGGCCACCGGAGGGCGCGCUAAGACAGUGGCGGGGUUUCCAACGGAGACUCCACCCUGCAGUUUCCAGGGAAGAAGCUCAGGCUAGUCCUGCCAGGGGACCUGGAGGCCUGGCGCCCGAGCGGACCCCUAGCCCGAUCUCCGGUCUGAUCCCCAGGGACAGCAAGCAGCAAGCAGGGCGGGCUGCACCUUAAGAGCAGCAUCAUCAAGCGUGAGGCACUCCCAGCUUCUGCGUGAACAAACUCAAUUGAAGAACAAUAUACAGAUUUUGCUGAAUGAGAAGAGAGAACUGCUGGUGGAGCAGACUGAACGGCCAGCAUCCUGUGUGGAGGCAAAGAGGCUCUGUGAAGAGGCCGGAAUGAACAUCUGUGUCCCCAGUGCAAAGGAACAGCAGGU